ACUACCAAUAUGAUUUCGUAUGUUACCACCUGGGAAUCUCACUCUCACACUCUUCCAACCUUCAAUGGACUCCAUUUGCCUAUUGGCUUUUAUUAAAUUUAUAAUGCAACAAACGUAUUCGUCGAAAGGUCCCCUUAAAAAUCAAUUCAUAAGAGGAUGGUCUGGAAAAGGUUUAUAUGCAGACAUGGACUUCAAAGAGGGGGAACUGGUUCUGAAGGACCCCAUGCUUGUAGGAGCUCAACAUCCCCUCAACAAGAUUGAUUGUUUGGUGUGUAGCUUCUGCUUUCGUUUUGUUGGUUCCAUAGAACUUCAAAUUGGAAGGAAGCUUUACAUGCAACAACUGAGGGCCAACGAGAGUCAUGGUUGUGAUGUGGGAAGCUCUUCGAAACACUGCCAUGAAAUGGAUUCUUCAGAUGAAGAGGAGAGCACUCAGCAAUGCACUUCUGGUAGUCCCAAAACUAAAGUUCCUCUCCCUGAAGAUGUUGUGCAAUCUUUAAUGAAUGGCCAAUUGGUGUUGCCUUUCUCCGAGAAGUUCUCCUUGCCGCCAGCUGUUCCAUGCCCUGGUGGAUGUGGAGAAGCUUACUAUUGCGGCAUGUCAUGUGCAGAGGUGGAUUGGGAAUCCUCCCAUUCUUUACUCUGUACUGGUGAGAGUUCUGAUUCAGCUCGUAGAGAGGCACUCCUUAAAUUCAUCAAACAUGCUAAUAAACAAAUGAUAUAUUCCUCCUUGCUGCAAAGGUGGUGGGACUGUAUUGCUUUGCCAGACGAUGUUGAUUCUUCUGAUGAAGCUUCAUUCAGGCUGCAAAUAAAAAUGUUGGCAUUUGAGUCUCUCCAACUUCUUAAAAAAGCCAUAUUUGACAAGGAAUGUGAGUCAUUAUUCUCCCUUGAAAUCUAUGGAAAUAUCAUCGGCAUAUUUGAGCUGAAUAAUCUCUUCUCCUGUGGAGGAUUACUUCUUAUACAUUGAUGAUCUGACAUAUCCUAAUAAGGUUAGACUUUGGUCCGCCCUGCUUUAUGACAUUUUCUCAAAAAGAAUAAGUUGUUUUUACUUUUCUGACAUUAAUGGCAGGAAGAAGCUGAGAAAAUUACGCAACCAAUUCUGGAUGCUCUUGGUGAAGAGUAUUCUAUUUAUUGCAAAGGAACUGCAUUUUUUCCUUUGCAAAGCUGCUUGAACCAUUCCUGUUGUCGUAAUGCCAGGGCUUUCAAAAGAGAUAGGGAAUGUGGGGGUAAAACUAACUUAAUUUUAUCUACUAUUUGAUUUGGUUUGAGUUUAUCAUUUACUUGACUUCAUUUGAUGCCGAAGAUUAUUAUUAGAUUAACAUUCAUGUUUCUAUUUUAGCAUGAAAAUGAAAAUGACAAUUCCUUUUAUCCAUGUGGCUUCCAGUGCCAUGUGCGUCAACAAGA